rnacentral:rRNA from 1 species
GACGAACGCUGGCGGCGUGCUUAACACAUGCAAGUCGAACGCUGAAGCUCAGCUUUUGUUGGGUGGAUGAGUGGCGAACGGGUGAGUAACACGUGAGUAACCUGCCUCCUUCUUUGGGAUAACGCCCGGAAACGGGUGCUAAUACUGGAUAUUCACUGGUCUUCGCAUGGGGGUUGGUGGAAAGGGUUUUUCUGGUGGGGGAUGGGCUCGCGGCCUAUCAGCUUGUUGGUGGGGUGAUGGCCUACCAAGGCUUUGACGGGUAGCCGGCCUGAGAGGGUGACCGGUCACAUUGGGACUGAGAUACGGCCCAGACUCCGACGGGAGGCAGCAGUGGGGAAUAUUGCACAAUGGGCGCAAGCCUGAUGCAGCGACGCUGCGGGAGGGAUGGAGGCCUUCGGGUUGUGAACCUCUUUCGCUCAUGGUCAAGCCGAAACAAUGGUUGUGGUGAGGGUAGUGGGUAAAGAAGCGCCGGCUAACUACGUG